CAGAUCACCGAAGCAGCAGGAUGUGAGCUGCCCCGCUGAAAAAGCUGCAGCUUCAUGGAAUUACAACAGUGAGGUAAUGAGUAUCUUCGUGUGCUGGAAGGGUGGAAAUCCCUGGAUAUGAGAUAAAAGGUAAGGCUCACAUCCAUUUUUUCACAAUAGACACAGUCUGAAAAGACACUGUGGCUCUGUCAAUCCUUCAAAGAGGGGAUCUAAUGACAGCCUGGAAUGACACACGUCCUGUGCCCAUGGUCUUUGUGGCCCUCUGGCGAGGCUAAAAUCCCUCAUUCUUUUCCUGGAAGUGUUCUCAAUGAGGCUGAUGGACAGGUCAGUCUGGACCUGUAUCCUGGAGCCAAUUCUGAGAUGGAAGGUGGAAGAAUGCUUGGCUGUUGGGUCCGGAUGGUAGGAGAUGGAAGGGUGGACAGGCAAUGAGAGAGAGCCUGGGAGAGGGGCUGGCAUGGGGCACCUGCGCUGGCUGUGUGAGCAGGGGCUCUGACGCCAUCAUAGAGAGUGCAAUGCUUCAAAAGGACAAACAUAAAGGGAAUGGCUCUUCCUCCCCCCACCCCUACCUGUCCCCGCACCCUCACCCCUGCUUCCUCCAUCCCCUUGUCUCUUUUCUUCUCCCCUUCUCCUUCACUUCUGUUUCUGUCUGUGGAGGUGCCACAGCCUGGGUUGUGGGGGGCUGCAGUAAGGAGGAGUUCUCGAAACGGGAGAUCCAUGGUGGUGGUCACUAAACCCAAGAGUAGAACAAGUGGCCAUCCACAGGACCCUGGUGUGAGUGGAGUCAAGAAUCCUGGUCCCCAGACUGGGCCAAGCAGGGUGAGGAGGGUGUUCUGAGUGGGGCAGAAGUAACCACAUAAAGGCCCAGCCUUAGCAUGAUGGGGAUGGUUAUUCUUUUGGGGGAAGGAGGUACAGAUGUGGAAAGAGAAGGAAUCUGUACUUCUGGACAAAACUCAGAGAGGCCAACCAAAACAGAUGUGCACCGUCCACAUCUGCCCUCUAGCCCGUCUCCCAUUACAUCGCUGGAGCAACGGUCGCUCUGUGACAAGCACCCUGGCCCCUAAACCUGGAUUUCAAAUGCCAUUCCCUGCUUGCAGUCAGUGGGAGGAACAGUGUGUUCCAGGGACAGACAGGGAGAGGACACCUGAGCUAGGGUGUCUCCGUAGUCCACAGAACAGGACCAUCCAAGGAACCUGGAUCGCAGCCCAAAGGAUCACCAACUCUGUAAGAUGGGACUGAACAUCAAAAUAGAUGGAGCCAGGGAUGAGGCCAGCUUCCCAGAUGACAUCUGGCAUGUGCCACCUCAUCAGGCGGUUGACAUGGUGGCAAAUCCAAGCUCGGCAUCGCAUGUCAGAGGACAAGUCAGCUGGCAUUCACACCGCCGCGUCUCUGCGGUUCCUGUGGAGGACGGCUCGGCCCCAGCCACUCGGAAGUUCUGGAUGUCAAACACUGAGGUGCAUCCUGAUGAAGCGGCUGUCCCAGUAUCUCCAAAAGUGGCCGGGUCAUGAAGGAAACAGGGGUCAAGGAUUUUUUUGUUUCCUCUCUCCCUCCUCCGGGCAGCACUAUGGAACAGCUGUUUUUCUAGUUCCCCAAGAAGCAAAUGAUAACAGGUAGGGAACUGGCACUUAGCGGAUGUCUCCGGAUCACAACCUUGGGUUUCAACUGAAUCCUCCAGCAACCGAGUGGAACAGUCAGUGUGGAGCCUUGGCCAACCUUCUCUGACUUUCCCUGUGCCCCUAGGGUGGGGCUGUGGGCAGGAGGGGAGCUCAGCCUUGUUAAACAACAGCAAAAUCCUAGGAUUCUGCUCUAGCAGACCAGAUGAAACCGGAAUCAAGUGUGCCAACUGUCACCUCAAAGGGUCGGUUUCCCGCAUCCUGGGCAAUCUUGUCUGCCUGCAUCAUUGCGAUGAGAAAGCUUGUGCUGCUUUAACCCUUGUGAACCGUGCCCUCCUCCCGAGAUGCCGGCCAUGUUAAGUAGAUAGAGUGCCCAUCUAGCACAAAUAAAGCCCCAAGUUUGGAUCUCCAAUGUCACAGAACGUUUCCUGGGGCUAACCUCUCGGAGUUAAGGCAUUCCUUGUGAGACCUUUCUGUUCUACUUUGUGUCUGAAGGCUGUCUUGAUGCACGAACCACAAAUAAAACGCUAGUUAGGUCUGUGACUAGAUCUAUGUGAUACAGCGAAUGUUACCAGUGACCAAAGUAGACUGCUGGGUUCCUUGUCAAUCGAAGGCCACGUCGGGUGGUGACCCGAGAAUGGGGAUUUGGGCGCUCUGUGGCACGCUGUAUGUGUCGGGUAUGCACAGGGCUUGGACUUCAUCCUGGGCAAUGAAAGACUGUGAAGAGCCUCGAAAGGAACCUCAGGACUUCUCCAGACCCCCUUCCAGAAGUUCUUGCUGGGUGAGAGACCACUCCUGCACAGUUCCCUCUGGAUUCUGGAAGGAGGGGCCGUUACUGAACACGCAACCUCAAGCCAAAGAGUAAACUGGCUGACUUUGUGCGAUCCCCCUUAACUUGAACAAGCUUUACUUAGUGACGGGAAAAAUCACUUUGAUGACAUCUACGCUAUUAGAGUACUGAAGCAUUUGGACCCUGGGGUGUGAACAGGAGCCC